rnacentral:misc_RNA from 1 species
UCUCCGUAGGUGAACCUGCGGAGGGAUCAUUACCGAGCUCAUGGCCCUACCGGGUAGAUCUCCCACCCUGUGUUAUUAUUACCUUUGUUGCUUUGGCGGGCCGCCGCGCUCCGGCCUGGCUACCGGCUCCGGCUGGUAAGCGCCCGCCAGAGGACCCCAAACCCUGAAUGUUAGUGUCGUCUGAGUACUAUAUAAUAGUUAAAACUUUCAACAACGGAUCUCUUGGUUCUG